rnacentral:rRNA from 1 species
GAUGAACGCUGGCGGCGUGCCUAAUACAUGCAAGUCGAGCGAACGGACGAGAAGCUUGCUUCUCUGAUGUUAGCGGCGGACGGGUGAGUAACACGUGGAUAACCUACCUAUAAGACUGGGAUAACUUCGGGAAACCGGAGCUAAUACCGGAUAAUAUUUUGAACCGCAUGGUUCAAAAGUGAAAGACGGUCUUGCUGUCACUUAUAGAUGGAUCCGCGCUGCAUUAGCUAGUUGGUAAGGUAACGGCUUACCAAGGCAACGAUGCAUAGCCGACCUGAGAGGAUGAUCGGCCACACUGGAACUGAGACACGGUCCAGACUCCUGCGGAAGGCAGCAGUAGGGAAUCUUCCGCAGUGGGCGAAAGUCUGACGGAGCAACGCCGCGUGAGUUAUGAAGGUCUUCGGGUCUUAAAACUCUGUUAUUAGGGAAGAACAUAUGUGUAAGUAACUGUACGCAACUUGACGGUACCUAAUCAGAAAGCAACGGCUAACUACGUG